rnacentral:lncRNA from 1 species
UUAUAUAUACAUGUGAUCGGUUCGGACCCAAUGACAACCGGUACUAGAAUCGGCUGUUGAGAGUGAACUGGUCACAAAUCAUACCCAAAACUAAAUUAACAGAAUUGAAACGCAACCACACACAUACCUUGNNNNNNNNNNNNNNNCACACAUACCUUGAUUCUUCCGAUAAAAUCUUAUCGGAAUUCAAAAAUACUCGUCGCCGGAAUGGCCACCGCCGUGUCCAACGCUGCUGGCCGCCACUCGUUAAGCCAAAUCCUUAAAGAAUUCGUCAAGUUCGCAGUUGGCUCCGCCAUCGACGGCU